GUUACAACAGCACCAUCAACCCCAAGUGGCUUUCCUCCUGUUCCCUCGUUUCCAGUGGACUCCGGUGAGCACUUGGGGGACCCGGACCCUCCACUUGUUUCCACUGUUUGCCAUCUGCCUUCUUCCUGUGCACCUGCUACAGCCACGAUGUGUCCCACGCCCCUUCAACGGCACCCAUUCCACAGCGGUUUCACGAGACCUUAGCCGGACCAGAUAGUCCAUGCUCACAAUAUGAUCUACGGUGAGGGCCUCGGGCCACCAUGAAGCAUCAGCUUGACCUCCACAGGGACUGGAGCCUGCGGCCAGCCAGACGGGUGGUCAGCCUGCCUGUGUGACCAGCCCCCAGAAAACCCCCAGACCCCCAGGGGAAUGCCAGUUCCAUGAGGGUGGGGCCUGCUAUCCGUUUUGUUCCUGGCCGUGUCCCCAGUGUGCAGAAAAGGUCCAA